UACAGAGGUCUCAAGCGUUGUUCGGAUUCAUUGGGCGUAAAGGGCGCGUAGGCGGCGGGGUCAGUCGGGUGUGAAAUCUUGGGGCUUAACCCCGAAACGGCACUCGAAACUGCCCGGCUGGGGGGCCGGAGAGGAGAUCGGAAUUCACGGUGUAGCAGUGAAAUGCGUAGAGAUCGUGAGGAAGACCCGUGGCGAAGGCGGAUCUCUGGACGGCUAACUGACGCUGAGGCGCGAAGGCCAGGGGAGCAAACGGG
rnacentral:rRNA from 1 species